UGUGUAUAUAUAUCCUACUUUCCAUUCAAUUCCCAUAUACUUUUUUCUCCAUUUAAGAUGGGUUACUUUAAGAAUCUUGUCUUAAACAUAGUCUUGUUAUUUGUGUUUCUCUUAUCGAUGAAUCUCGCAACAGCAAGGCAACUAUCAGAGCCUCACAAAGCACCGGGACGCCUCCUUCUUUCUGCUUGUGAUCCAAGUCCAACAAAGCACACUUAUGCUAAUCCUAUAAUUCGUCCACGAGGACUGUGAGGAACCAAUUAAUUAUGGUGGCUAAAGCAAGUUGAUCAAUACCAUAAAAUAAUGAAACCAUACUGAAGCACAACCCUAGGGUUUCAAGGAAAAAACUUGCUGUGGAGAAGCAGAUAUUGAUGCAUAUGUAUUACUAUGUUAUAUUUGUGUGUUUUGGAAUUACCACAUCCUUUGUAUGUUAUUAAUUAUAUUAAUAAAUAUAACUGUACCGUGUUAAUUUGACAAAAUUUUCUUUUGGUGUUGGUCCACCAUAGCCAUUUUCGUUAGGUACCAUCAUUAAUUAGCUUCAACUUGUUACACCCAUCCAAUGGAAUGUAUCCACCCACAUUCUUGUUGUUA